UAAGGAAUAUUGGACAAUGGGCGCAAGCCUGAUCCAGCCAUGCCGCGUGAAGGACGAAGGCGCUCAGCGUUGUAAACUUCUUUUGGACGGGAACAAUACCUCUGGUGCGCCAGAGCUUGAGGGUACCGUCAGAAUAAGCACCGGCUAACUCCGUGCCAGCAGCCGCGGUAAUACGGAGGGUGCAAGCGUUAUCCGGAAUCACUGGGUUUAAAGGGUGCGUAGGCGGUCUUGUAAGUCAGUCGUGAAAUCGCUGGGCUCAACCUAUGCAAUUGCGAUUGAUACUGCAGGACUUGAAUGGGGUUAAGGCAGGCGGAAUGUGGCAUGUAGCGGUGAAAUGCAUAGAUAUGCCAUAGAACACCGAUUGCGAAGGCAGCCUGCUGGGCCUUGAUUGACGCUGAGGCACGAAAGCGUGGGGAGCAAACAGG
rnacentral:rRNA from 1 species